rnacentral:rRNA from 1 species
AGAGUUUGAUCCUGGCUCAGGAUGAACGCUGGCGGCGUGCUUAACACAUGCAAGUCGAGCGGAGAUAAAUUGAAAGCUUGCUUUUAAUUUAUCUUAGCGGCGGACGGGUGAGUAACGUGUGGGCAACCUGCCUCAUACAGAGGGAUAAUCAUGUGAAAACGUGACUAAUACCGCAUGUCGUUUCGGGAGGGCAUCCUCCUGAAAGAAAAGGAGCAAUCCGAUAUGAGAUGGGCCCGCAUCUGAUUAGCUAGUUGGUGAGAUAACAGCCCACCAAGGCGACGAUCAGUAGCCGACCUGAGAGGGUGAUCGGCCACAUUGGGACUGAGACACGGCCCAAACUCCUACGGGAGGCAGCAGUGGGGAAUAUUGCACAAUGGGGGAAACCCUGAUGCAGCAACGCCGCGUGAAGGAAGACGGUUUUCGGAUUGUAAACUUCUAUCAAUAGGGACGAAGAAAGUGACUGUACCUAAAUAAGAAGCCCCGGCUAACUACGUGCCAGCAGCCGCGGUAAUACGUAGGGGGCAAGCGUUAUCCGGAAUUACUGGGUGUAAAGGGUGAGUAGGCGGCAUGGCAAGUAAGAUGUGAAAGCCCGAGGCUUAACCUCGGGAUUGCAUUUUAAACUGCUAAGCUAGAGUACAGGAGAGGAAAGCGGAAUUCCUAGUGUAGCGGUGAAAUGCGUAGAUAUUAGGAAGAACACCAGUGGCGAAGGCGGCUUUCUGGACUGGAAACUGACGCUGAGGCACGAAAGCGUGGGGUAUCAAACAGGAUUAGAUACCCUGGUAGUCCACACGGUAAACGAUGAAUACUCGCUGUAGGCGAUAUACGGUCUGCGGCCAAGCGAAAGCAUUAAGUAUUCCACCUGGGGAGUACGCCGGCAACGGUGAAACUCAAAGGAAUUGACGGGGGCCCGCACAAGCGGAGGAACAUGUGGUUUAAUUCGAUGAUACGCGAGGAACCUUACCCGGGCUUAAAUUGCAACCGAAUAUGGCGGAAACGCCAUAGCUAGCAAUAGCGGUUGUGAAGGUGCUGCAUGGUUGUCGUCAGCUCGUGCCGUGAGGUGUCGGCUUAAGUGCCAUAACGAGCGCAACCCUUGCCGAUAGUUACUAACAGGUUAUGCUGAGGACUCUGUCGGGACUGCCAUCGUAAGAUGUGAGGAAGGUGGGGAUGACGUCAAAUCAGCACGGCCCUUACGUCCGGGGCUACACACGUGUUACAAUGGGGGGUACAGAGGGCUGCUACCACGCAAGUGGAUGCCAAUCCCAAAAACCUCUCUCAGUUCGGAUUGAAGUCUGCAACCCGACUUCAUGAAGCUGGAUUCGCUAGUAAUCGCGCAUCAGCCACGGCGCGGUGAAUACGUUCCCGGGCCUUGUACACACCGCCCGUCA